AUUGGCCAAAGGCUAUAUUUCAGCAUACCCACUGUGACCAGUCUAAAGUCGAAAAGAUGGAAGAUUUAUUUUGCAACACGAUGCUUCAAACCCUCUCCGCAAUUGCAACUGAAGAAUCUUGAAUGACUUGCAAGGAUGACACAACCUUGCCAGCAAUUGCAUAUGAAGAUUCUUGUUUGAUUUCCAAGAAGAAGGCUUUCAGUUGUCCAGGCCAGGCCAGGUGACCAAUGACGAUGAUAGAUCGGGUUCGAUUCAAGCUGUACGCUUGGUGUAUUUGGUUAUCGUGACUGGCGACUUGAGUCUAUCUCAUCUCAUGUCCAAAGCACGGUGGCUGGGUCCCAGGCAUGCUUGCCACUUUGUUCCACGGUCCUCAUCUAAGUUUCGACGGUGAUGACAUGGACUUAGGUUCAAGGAACGUGUUCCCCUUGAGUCAUUGUGGUUGAUUGAUCGGGGCAAUAAACAGUUGCGUGUCGCAAGUCAUUCACAAUAUCCCCUUGUUUUAGAGUGUUGAUGGGAUAAGUCUUACGACUGUUAACAAUAGUAAGCAAUAGCCGGCCGGCAACCCCCUACCUGAUAUCGAGGGGGAUGGAAUGACUGGGGUUAUAUGCCUGUUGUUUAACCUACGGAAUUUCGUCGGACGAAAUGUCAAGCGUGUCCGUGUGGUACUUGUGCUAAACCAGUUUAGUACUAAUGACGAAGACAUUGGGCUCUUUGAAUAACAACAUGGUUCUUGACCUUGUGCCUCACAAAGCUAAUAAUAUACACCCCCUGAAAUUGACAAGACGGCGAUAAAGAAGGAGAGUCGACCUUCAACUCGUCAGCCGAGAAGACACUAAAUGGACCCCGAGAAGAUGUUGCUGCCAAUGUUGGAGCCAUACAGGGCAGCCGGAGCCAACAUUGUACAAGGGCCACAAGGAAAAGGGACACAAGGACAAGGGGCACAAGAACAAGGGACACAAGAACAAGGGACACUAGAACAAGGGAAACAAGGACAAGGGACACAAAAGACGAUGUUGCAGUCUACAGGCUAUGCAGAUGACUGGAGAUGAUGGCUGUUGAGUUAACCCAAUGACUUUCACCAUGAUCUACGAUGCGUACUGAAGCAAGAACGACUCUCAAAGACCCAGAAAACAACAGAUGCCAACACUUCGCCCCAUGAUAAGAUGCCUUCAUACCCAUCCAUCGACAAUUUGGGCAAGACAGCCUAAUUGACCUUCAUGGGGAUCUUCCUGGCAGAUGUUGUAUGAGGAAGGAUUCAAUGUGUAUACACCAUGCUUGGAUGAGGGACUGAGAGUCGGGUAGAUUCAAUGGAUGGAAUCGUCUCGCUCAGGGAUAUCGGCGGUGGACACUUACAUUGUGUGUCAUUCGAAUAGACUUUAAUGACAAUCGAAAUGAUGCUCUAAGGGGACUCUGAUGACUCUAAGGACAUAGAGCCCUUCUUGUUACGUAGUGUGAUGCCAUAUCCAGCAGCCACCAUUGAGCCAGCUCAUCUGUUACAUAUGGAUGGAUGCCAUCUCAAACGGAGAUGAGCCAUCCCACAGGAGGGAGGAGGAUGUUGCUGAGCCAGCGCAUCUCUACCAUGCUCCCGUCGCCGUCAAGGAGGUUCGAUUUUUGUCACCGUAAGCCUUACCCUUUUAUUGCAAUAUCUGAUUGAAAGGUGAUUUGAUAAAAAUCCUGAUAUUUUGGUUCCUGAUUGCAAGAGGGCAAUUAUUUGCCUUCUUUCGGGCAAUGACAAACUCUUGCCAUCGCUCAAAAUCGUACACAAGAAGAAUUUAGAAAAUGGGGGAGGGGGUAAUAAGGUAACCAGGGCAUGUCACAAGCCCAGAAAUUAUUUUCUCACAAACAAAAUUGAUAAGAAAAAUCAAAAUGUGGAUGGGAUGUUCUGACUAACAGGACAGCCAACAGGGUUGGUACCCAAACAAAACAUUUGCAAUAGCCUAGGGUUCAUUAGAACCGUACAGGCUGCUUUAGAUUUGAAAAAAGAUCUUUCUGCUUACAAAAUCACUGAAUUCAUCAGAUAUUGUUUUUGAUUAUGUCCAUCAUAUGAGACAUGGGGUUCACAAGACAUUCGCUUUGCUCUGACCCCAGGCAAAGCGAAUGACCAUGUGUGUCUUGAUGGAACCACAGGCCUUUUUACUGUUUCUUGAUCUCUUCAGUACCACAGAAUCCACCGACUUUUAAACACCACCUGGGCCAAGGCGCCAAAGAUCCUUCGUAUCAUUGGCUGGCUCAGUUGCUCAGUGUCUUUACCUUCAUACUUGAGACAACUGACAAAAAUCUGGUGAAUUUUAUUUGCUAGUCACUUUUUAAUCAAUACCUGUGAACAAAAAAAUCACGGGAUGCAAAACAUCUUUUCACCAAUUUAACUGAUAAGUUUUGUCAAUAAAACUAUUGUUUAAAAUAUUAAGAUAUUAAACUAUUGAAAUAGCAAUGUGUCAAUAAAACUAUUGUUUUAUUGAAACUUAUCCGAAUAAGACUGGUUCUUGAUCCUACCCAUAGCGGUCUUACAGAAUCAUGUUCUGGAGGUUAUGAAAGAUAUUAUUUUGGCCCAUCAAGAAAAUUUUUAAUGGACUUGGUAAUGGUACUGAAUGAUUUGAGAAAAGUGUAACGUCAAUUUGUAAGACGUUUUAUAUUGUCAUAUAUGUAUGUAAUUAUAUUUGUAAUGCAUGUAAAUCUUGUAAGUAAAAUAAAAGAGAUCUAAGACUCAACUUGCAAAGAACCUGGCAGACCAACAUCCAGUCUUGCCAGGUCAAAGCUACCUCUUUUUUUGUCAUGCAAAUAUAUGUCACCUCUGCUCCUUUUGUCAUGCUAAUUGGCAGUUCCUGGCCAUGAGAAAUGUGGUUCUUUUGUUAUUCAAAUUGGGCCCUAAACCUGUUUAGUCAUGGAUUAAUGAGAGCAAGUGACCUUACCUAUUGUUCAUUGAACAUGGCUCAACUUUGUAAUGCAUGUAAAUCUUGUAAGUAAAAUAAAAGAGAUCUAAGACUCAACUUGCAAAGAACGUGGCAGACCAACAUCCAGUCUUGCCGGGUCAAAGCUACCUCUUUUUUUGUCAUGCAAAUAUAUGUCACCUCUGCUCCUUUUGUCAUGCUAAUUGGCAGUUCCUGGCCAUGAGAAAUGUUGUUCUUUUGUUAUUCAAAUUGGGCCCUAAACCUGUUUAGUCAUGGAUUAAUGAGAGCAAGUGACCUUACCUGUUGUUAAAACAUGUACAAUAGCUAAAACGUGUAUAUGAUGAAUGCAUGCAGAGCUCAUUGUUGGAAUUGUUGAGUCAUCUCGUGUAAAUUCAGCAGUCUUUUUUGGACAUUUUAAAGGAGAACAUGUGUGAUAGUACAAUGUUUGAUAGUACAAUUAUCACCACGUCUCAUCCUUUAAAGGGCAUUGGAGUGGUAAAGUGACUAUAAUCGAUGGAAAGUACACCAGUUUUUGCACAUUUUCUCAAAAAUCCUAUUGAACCCAAAUUUUCACCAAUGGUGGAGAAUCUUCUUGGCUAUCGAAUGAUAUCAUAGUUGA